rnacentral:rRNA from 1 species
GAUGAACGCUGGCGGCGUGCCUAAUACAUGCAAGUCGAGCGAACAGAUGAGGAGCUUGCUCCUCUGACGUUAGCGGCGGACGGGUGAGUAACACGUGGAUAACCUACCUAUAAGACUGGGAUAACUUCGGGAAACCGGAGCUAAUACCGGAUAAUAUAUUGGACCGCAUGGUUCAAUAGUGAAAGACGGUUUUGCUGUCACUUAUAGAUGGAUCCGCGCCGCAUUAGCUAGUUGGUAAGGUAACGGCUUACCAAGGCAACGAUGCGUAGCCGACCUGAGAGGGUGAUCGGCCACACUGGAACUGAGACACGGUCCAGACUCCUACGGGAGGCAGCAGUAGGGAAUCUUCCGCAAUGGGCGAAAGCCUGACGGAGCAACGCCGCGUGAGCGAUGAAGGUCUUCGGAUCGUAAAACUCUGUUAUUAGGGAAGAACAAAUGUGUAAGUAACUAUGCACGUCUUGACGGUACCUAAUCAGAAAGCCACGGCUAACUACGUG